CUCUAACAAGAACGAUGAUUUUAGUCUUGGGAAACUCUAAGCAGACAACACCAUUGAACAUGCCUAGAUUUCUGACCUAUAAAACUCCAUUGGCAACUAUGUGUGUGAUGGCUCAUCUUAUUCACAGUCCUGGAGAUAAAGGCUUGUCCUUCAGGAUGACUGGAUCUGCAAGUUAUAUUCAACUAAAGAAAGUUACAUUUGUUCCUGUAACGUUGCACAGAAAGGCCAUCGAACAUCUGACAUGCAGGCCAUAAGAGGAGGAGACGGCACUUUAGAAUCCAAAGAAAAAAAGUCAAUCAGAGUAGGGGUUCUUCCCCCAGAUCCUAAGAUUUAAGACAAUUCCAAUGAAAAUCCAAGCAAACUAUCUUGUGGGAAUUGGCAAACUGAUUCAAAACUUUAGAUAGCAAAGCAGGAAGCCCAGAAAUACCAACAAAAUACUGAAGAAAAACAACUCUGGAGGACUGACACUACCUGACUUCUAAACUUUCCAUAAAUCUACUGUAAUCAAGAUGCCAUGGUAUGUGUGAAAGAAUAGACACAUAGAUUAAUGGAACAGAUAUCAA